rnacentral:lncRNA from 1 species
AACAAAUAAAAUAAAACAUAUUCCUUCUUCCCAAUCUCUCAUCUAACGUGAACAAGUAAAGCUGGAGAGUACUAGUGAAGAUUCUUUCACAACCUAUUUAGUAAUCAGGUAUGAUAUCUAGUUCAUCCCUACAAUAUGGUUCAUAAAUUAACUCACACAGAUUUUAGAAAUUCAAUGAUAAUGGUGGUAAAAAAUAUAAUAAUAAUAAUUAAGAAUUUAAGUUUAUAAGGAGUUAUAGUGGAACUUGAUUAUUACUUGACAAGAUCAUCAAAAAUAGUCAUUAAGUGAAUUUGUCAAAAUGUCGUAACUCGGCGAGGGAAUGAUUCGCAUGUGGACUUUUUAGAACUGGAUAUUUGCUCUUCUUUUAUUUGUUUAGUAAUUAAUAGAGACAGUUAACAUCUCUUCAUUGUCCUUUAGCUUCGGGUGAAUUUGUACUUAGUUUAGCAAGAAGUUAAUUUGGAAAAAUAAUUAAUAUAUUAUCAUGGCAAAAAUCAUUUGAGUUUGCUGCCAGGUUUAAGAAUUGGGAAAAGGAUAAGAACUAUUAAAAUAUUAGAGAUAACCCUUCCCGCUAGUAGUUAGAUAAAACUUUCAAGUAUACCGGAGAAUCAUAUUCAGAGAAUUCACAAAUUAGAGGACUUUAGCAAUCUUCUUAAGUGAGUAAAUUCAUAGUCUUUGAACUCGUAUUGAUGUAAAUUGAACCCGGUUAUCAUAUGUAGAUUGAAAGUUGUGAAUCAGUAUUGCUUGGAGGAUACGUAACGUCGAAGUUGAACUAGUAAUUUUGAGGUAAGUUGGGGCUUAAUCUCAGUUUACUUCAUUCUUAUUCAGUAUGACUUUAUAAGUGAUAGGAUUACAUGCCUACGUAUAUUACCAUUGUUAUAUGCAUUUGCUGGUGAUGUUUACGUCCAGUUCAGUAUUUAGUUCAACAUUCAUUCAUGCAUUAAUGUGAUCACAUUUAGUAGGGAGAAGUGGCCAACCCCCUCCCCCUAGCGUGAUGUCAUGAUGCCAGGGUAAGCCACCACACGCUCGCAAGUGCCAAUUGUUUGUUGGGGAGAUAGUCCGAGACUCCCCCGUGCGUGUUCUCAGAUACUCAUGUACGCAGGACCACUAUGCGUAAUGACUUUCCAAAAAAGGUAUUUGUAAAAUGCAGUUUCUCUUUCAGAUAUCAGUUGUAUACUCAGUUUCUAUGUUAAGUUUCACUUUCUAGCUCAUUACUUGUUUAUGAAAUUUUGUUUGAUUUAUAUGAUUUCCCGUGUAUCCAUUUCCUUCCAUAUUUUUCCCACAAGGUUUCGCUCCACCUUUUUAGGAGGUAGCUUAUGAGACUUACUAGGUAUCGUUUGGUGGUACUUAGCCCGUUUGAUCCUACUACGUUGUGUGGCAGGUAUUGAGGAUGCUGAUAAUAUGGCACGUGGCUAGAGGAGAUAUUUUAGAUUAAAUUGAUAGACUCUAUUGAUUCAUUCUAGUGGUAUCAGACAUUUCUCAGACUCUUAUUUAUUUUUAGACAUUUGUACUAUUUACGGGGAAUGCUCUGUAUGCUACGUAUUUUAGUUUUUAUCAGAUUCUAGAGGCUCAUGACUUGCUGGGUCAGUAUUAAGAUUUUUAGAUUUAUCGUUCACUUGUCAUUCUAUGAAACAGUUUUAGAAUUGCAACUUGCUAGAACUAUUAUUUAAGAAUAUUACUUUGUUUGUCACUAAGCUGGAAGUUAUGUUACAACUAGCACAGGGUUCGCUCAACGAAUGUUAAGGGUUGAGUGCCAAUCAUGUCCCACCUAGUUUUGGGGGUGUGACACUUUUCGAUACUAGGAUUAUUUUUAAAGCUUGUUUUGACUUAUUUGAGUAAUAUUUGACUAGAUUCGGGUUGUUUGGAGGCUUGUUCUAAAUGGAAGACGGUCUUGGAUUGUCGAUUUAUUCCAGAAGGAGGUAAAUAUCGUGGUUAACUUUGAUUUGAGGGAAUUAGGUCGGAAAUAUCUUAAUUAUUAUGUGCUAAAUAUGUUGGGACGAUGCAUAUACAUGGUGAUGAAUGUAUAUGCGUUUGUCAUAGGUUAAAGCAUGAGGGUAAAAGUAGCUUUAUUCAUGUUCUUGCCAUAUCCUUGUGUUGUUCUCUUAUGUUAUGUUGGAUUGUGAGACUCAUUGAUUUCUUACAUGUUCUUGGCCAUGUUUGGAGCCUCAUUGGAUAUAUGAGCGAGAUAACUCUUGAAAUAUUGAAAUGCAUAUCAUGUUUAUCCUUUCCUUGGUAUAUUUUUUCUUACUUGUUUUCUCCACUGUAUUCUGUUAUGCUCUUUGUCAUAUUUGUUGUUUGUUGGGUAUUUUCAUGUGGAUUGAUAUUGCGAUUAGAUCGGGUUUCACGCCGCAAUGGUACAUUUGUUGGAUCGGUUUGUUCGUCGUGGAACUCACUUAUUCUUAGAGAAAUGAUGUGUGCUAGCCUUCCCUACCAUUGGCCUAUCUGCUUUCAAAGCUUAUUCUUUAUCAACUACAAAUAGUACAAAGGGAAAGACAAGGCUGCUCCCAGAUCGACAGGGAGAGAAGAAGAAGGUCUCUUCCCAGCUAAGUCCUAUGCUGAGUUGUAAGACUGGCCUCUCUCCUUAGUGGUCUACGAUCGCUAAAGUAUCGGGCAUUUUCGGGGACUAGCCCACUUCUACUCUUUUAUUUUAUUUUUCGAUCACGUUGCAAUGGUAUUAAGAUUGGACUAGGUUGCACGCUGCAAUCGUAUUGAGAUUGGAUCGGGUUGCGUGUCGCAAUAGAUACGAUGGCUUGAGCUUAUUUCUUAUUUGAUGUUUCUCUUCUGUGGUGUUUGUAUCUUAAGGUUAUGAUGUGUUGUUAUUUUUAUAAACCUUAUUAUAUGUUCUCUUCUUUGUACUUAUUCUUUUGUCUGUCUCUCUAUUUUUAUUAUUUUUUGCUUAUUACUUGCACAAAUUUAUAAGUAAGUGUAUUUUCAUAGCCUCUUCACUAUCUCGUCGAGGUUAGACUCGAUACUUAUUGGGUACAUUUGGGUCGAUUAUACUCAUACUAUACUUCUGCACUUCUUGUGCAGCUCCAGGCAUUGGCCCUUGCAGGGUUCAAAGGGUGACUAGUUGGACUUCUGGAGACUCGAGGUAGUGUUGCAGACCCAUUUGCAAGCUCUGGAGUCACCGUCCUUUAAGAUAUUACUAUCAAAUUGUAUCAUACAUUAUUGUACUUCUUUUCUGACAUUGAUUUAGUACUCUUCGUAGCUAAUAUGCUCUAUAACACCAGAUCUUGGGGAGUUAAUUAGAUAGUAUUUGGCAUCGUAUUGUUAUGUUCUAUGGAGCUUUUACCCUUAUUUAUGAUAUUACGCAGUUAUACGUUA